rnacentral:rRNA from 1 species
CCUACGGGUGGCAGCAGUGAGGAAUAUUGGUCAAUGGACGAGAGUCUGAACCAGCCAAGUAGCGUGAAGGAUGACUGCCCUAUGGGUUGUAAACUUCUUUUAUAAAGGAAUAAAACGAGGCACGUGUGCUUUUUUGCAUGUACUUUAUGAAUAAGGAUCGGCUAACUCCGUGCCAGCAGCCGCGGUAAUACGGAGGAUCCGAGCGUUAUCCGGAUUUAUUGGGUUUAAAGGGAGCGUAGAUGGGUUGUUAAGUCAGUUGUGAAAGUUUGCGGCUCAACCGUAAAAUUGCAAUUGAUACUGGCGGUCUUGAGUACAGUUGAGGUAGGCGGAAUUCGUGGUGUAGCGGUGAAAUGCUUAGAUAUCACGAAGAACCCCGAUUGCGAAGGCAGCUUACUAAGCUGUGACUGACAUUGAUGCUCGAAAGUGUGGGUAUCAAACAGGAUUAGAUACCCCAGUAGUC